rnacentral:rRNA from 1 species
GAUAAACGCUGGCGGCGUGCCUAACACAUGCAAGUCGAACGCCCUGGAGCAAUUCAGGGAGUGGCGGACGGGUGAGGAACACGUGGGUUAUCUGCCUUGAGGUGAGGAAUACCGGCGAGAAAUCGCCGACAAUACCGCAUAGGUUCGUAAGAACAAAGUCGCAAGACGCCUUGAGAUGAGCCUGCGUCCGAUUAGCCAGUUGGUGGGGUAAUGGCCUACCAAAGCAGCGAUCGGUAGCUGGUCUGAGAGGACGAUCAGCCACACUGGGAUUGAGAACGGCCCAGACUCC